AGACUCGACGCCUUCCGCGUCUUCAAACUCCAUGGCCGCCAAGUCGUUCGCGCCCUUGACAACCUUGUGAACCCAGCGCGCGUUGGCCAGCUCUGCGAGGUGGUUGUGAAACGACGUGUCCGCGUAGAGCGGGAAAGAAGGCGACGUCAAGCUCGUGUACUUGAGAUCGCCGUCGACGUAGAACUCAAUCGCGCCCGCGUCGUUCACGAUCACUUGGAAAGUCUCACCCGCGACGAAGACGCCGGCAUCGAACUUGUUCACGCCCUUCUCUUGGAAUCGGACCUGAUUGCCGUUGCAGAACACGGCGUAGUCGAUGGUCGUUUGGCUGUGGCCCGAGGGCGUGCUCGACAAGCCAAACUGCAAGUGCCUGUUGUCGGUGCGCAUGCAGUCGCCGGAAAUGCCGCGAAUCUCGUCGCCGACUUUCGUGAUGGCGCGCGCGCUGUACGCGCCUCUUGCCCAGUUGUUCCCGCCUUGAGUACGUUUGAGGUAGCCCUGUUUGCCGUCCGUCGUCAUGCCCUGCGAAAGUCCGACCCACUCGAUGAGAUCCAAGUCGUUCGCACCCUCGUGGACAGUCUGUAUCCAGGAGACUCGAGAGAAAGACGCGCCUGCAGUGUUGAAGCGCGCGGUGGCGUAGAGCGGGAAGGCAGGCGCCUCAUCAGACGUCGCAAACGCCGCGCCAUCCUUGUAGUACGUGACGACGCCCGAGUCGAGCACGACCACUUGGAACGUCUCACCGACGAAGUAAUCGCCAAAGUCGCCGUCGCGCACGACGCCGUGUUCGGAGAUGCGGAUCACGCCGUUGUCGCACACAAUGCCGAAGUCGACCACCUCGUCGACGGAGUUCGUCGAGCCAGAGUUCAAGCCAAUCAUCAUGGACUUGUCCGUUUGGUCGCAAUCCGCGGAGACGCCACGCACUUCGUCGCCGAUCUUCGUGAUGGCACGUUUGCUCGUGGCGCCGACGUUCCAGCCACUGCCUGCCAUUGUGCGCGUCACUUGGCCCGCGGAAGACUCGACGCCUUCCGCGUCUUCAAACUCCAUGGCCGCCAAGUCGUUCGCGCCCUUGACAACCUUGUGAACCCAGCGCGCGUUGGCCAGCUCUGCGAGGUGGUUGUGAAACGACGUGUCCGCGUAGAGCGGGAAAGAAGGCGACGUCAAGCUCGUGUACUUGAGAUCGCCGUCGACGUAGAACUCAAUCGCGCCCGCG
rnacentral:lncRNA from 1 species